UAUCUCUGUAGAGUCUGCAUAUCAAUAAGCGGAGGAAAAGAAACUAACAAGGAUUCCCUUAGUAACGGCGAGUGAAGCGGGAAGAGCUCAAAUUUGAAAUCUUCAAGGUUCUACCUUGACGAAUUGUAGUUUAAAGAAGUGUUUUCUGUUGGAGUUUUGGUAAAAGUUCUUUGGAAUAGGACAUCAUAGAGGGUGAGAAUCCCGUAUUUGACCAUUAUUUCCAACUUUGUGAUACACUUUCAAAGAGUCGGAUUGUUUGGGAAUGCAGUCCAAAAUGGGUGGUAAAUUUCAUCUAAAGCUAAAUACUGGCGAGAGACCGAUAGCGAACAAGUACCGUGAGGGAAAGAUGAAAAGAACUUUGAAAAGAGAGUUAAACAGUACGUGAAAUUGUCAAAAGGGAAGCGUUUGACACCAGUGUUGUCUUCUCGAAAAUCAAUUAAAAAUGGCGGGAUUUUGUGUUGUAUUGACUUUAUCAGCUUUCUGCACUUUUUUCCUGUCUUUUUUAAUGCACUUUUCGUUUAACAAGUCAACAUCAAUUUCUUUUGUUGUAAAAGGGUAUGAGGAAGGUGGCUUUCUUUUCGGAGAAAGUGUCUAUAGCCUUGUACCUUCUGCAAUCGGAGAGAUUGAGGUCUGCAGCGUAGAUCCUUCGGGGUUAGAUGCAUUUGUGCUAAGUUAUAGCCUUUUCAUAGACAACUUGUUGACUAUGAUUAAGUCAUUGUAGUUUACUCGCUUAUGCUAUUUUACCUACGCUUAGGAUGUUGAUGUGAUACUGCGAGCA
rnacentral:rRNA from 1 species